CUGAGACACAAAUAUGAACACACGG
rnacentral:piRNA from 1 species